GCCAGGUGUGGUGGUACACACCUGUAAUCCCAGCAACUCAGGAGGCUGAGGCAGGAGGAUUGCCAGUUUGAGGUCUGCCUUAGGAACUUAGUGAGACCCUAAGCAACUUAGCAAGACCCUGUCUUGA
rnacentral:sRNA from 1 species